UAGUAUGUGCUCCCGAUUUCUCCUGAAU
rnacentral:sRNA from 1 species